rnacentral:hammerhead_ribozyme from 1 species
AUCCAUCUGACGAGUCCGAAAUAGGACGAAAUGCGCAUCCUGGAU